AUUGAACGCUGGCGGCAGGCCUAACACAUGCAAGUCGAGCGGAUGAAGGGAGCUUGCUCCUGGAUUCAGCGGCGGACGGGUGAGUAAUGCCUAGGAAUCUGCCUGGUAGUGGGGGAUAACGUCCGGAAACGGGCGCUAAUACCGCAUACGUCCUGAGGGAGAAAGUGGGGGAUCUUCGGACCUCACGCUAUCAGAUGAGCCUAGGUCGGAUUAGCUAGUUGGUGGGGUAAAGGCCUACCAAGGCGACGAUCCGUAACUGGUCUGAGAGGAUGAUCAGUCACACUGGAACUGAGACACGGUCUAGACUCCUACGGGAGGCAGCAGUGGGGAAUAUUGGACAAUGGGCGAAAGCCUUAUCCAGCCAUGCCGCGUGUGUGAAGAAGGUCUUCGGAUUGUAAAGCACUUUAAGUUGGGAGGAAGGGCAGUAAGUUAAUACCUUGCUGUUUUGACGUUACCAACAGAAUAAGCACCGGCUAACUUCGCG
rnacentral:rRNA from 1 species